GAAAAAGCGAUGAGAGGAAAAAGUAGCGGGAGUUCUGCUCCAAAGAGAGCCGGUGGCUGGUGGAAACCGGUGUGCGGAGCCUGCGAAUCCAUCCUUGAGCAAAGCAUGGAAAGCUGAAAAGGCAAGUAAGUGCUUUCGGGUCAAACCGUUAUGUAAUUGAGGUGGGCAGCUUGUGCUGCCAACCAGGGUGGCAACGCGGGUUAACUCCCGUCCCUGUU
rnacentral:ncRNA from 1 species